rnacentral:rRNA from 1 species
UUGCACCUGGUGGCGAGUGGCGAACGGGUGAGUAAUACAUCGGAACAUGUCCUGUAGUGGGGGAUAGCCCGGCGAAAGCCGGAUUAAUACCGCAUACGAUCUACGGAUGAAAGCGGGGGACCUUCGGGCCUCGCGCUAUAGGGUUGGCCGAUGGCUGAUUAGCUAGUUGGUGGGGUAAAGGCCUACCAAGGCGACGAUCAGUAGCUGGUCUGAGAGGACGACCAGCCACACUGGGACUGAGACACGGCCCAGACUCCUACGGGAGGCAGCAGUGGGGAAUUUUGGACAAUGGGCGAAAGCCUGAUCCAGCAAUGCCGCGUGUGUGAAGAAGGCCUUCGGGUUGUAAAGCACUUUUGUCCGGAAAGAAAUCCUUGGUUCUAAUAUAGCCGGGGGAUGACGGUACCGGAAGAAUAAGCACCGGCUAACUACGUGCCAGCAGCCGCGGUAAUACGUAGGGUGCGAGCGUUAAUCGGAAUUACUGGGCGUAAAGCGUGCGCAGGCGGUUUGCUAAGACCGAUGUGAAAUCCCCGGGCUCAACCUGGAACUGCAUUGGUGACUGGCAGGCUAGAGUAUGGCAGAGGGGGGUAGAAUUCCACGUGUAGCAGUGAAAUGCGUAGAGAUGUGGAGGAAUACCGAUGGCGAAGGCAGCCCCCUGGGCCAAUACUGACGCUCAUGCACGAAAGCGUGGGGAGCAAACAGGAUUAGAUANCCUGGUAGUCCACGCCCUAAACGAUGUCAACUAGUUGUUGGGGAUUCAUUUCCUUAGUAACGUAGCUAACGCGUGAAGUGACCGCCUGG